rnacentral:lncRNA from 1 species
CCAGAUAUGCAACAGUCAUCAACGAGAUAUCCCAUAAAAAUAUCGUUGAAAACGUCGAGGGAGAGCAACCGAGACAUACCCCAUUCGGCCUUCGACUCAUGGUAACGCCUUAUAGUUCCAUCUGCAUUGGGUUUGCAAAUACGAUUUAUGUAAAAAUGUUCAUUCAUCAUAUAUGCAUGCAAUUGUGAAUGAGUCAAAUAUUUAUCACGGAGCUGAUCCAACACCAAGAAUGAGAACUGUGCAUUAACUUCCCAACCAAAGGGUAAAGAUAUCGUAUCAACGACUGAUCCUUCCUAUCAUUUUUCGGGUUUCCCUUCGGGUAGAAACAAAUGUUCCUGUAACAAACACGACAUUCAUGUUCGAUUCUAAUAAAUGCUACUCAUUCUGGAUCGAAAAUGUUCAGAUAAUUAGAAGUUUCCCAAUUAAAUUUUUGAAGCCACGUAUCAGAAGACUUCCUGAUGCCA